rnacentral:tRNA from 1 species
AUGUGGUGGAGCUCGAGGUUUUGCUGGGCUUCGUGGGCCGGGCUGGGGAGGAGGAAGGGGACAGACCCACGAAAAAAAAGAGGCCCACGAAAAAGGGGUGUUCCGAGAAUCGAACUCGGGACCUCUCGCACCCGAAGCGAGAAUCAUACCACUAGACCAAACACCCUGAGUUGUGCUUCCUUCACGAUACCAAAGCUCUUAUCCCUAUUUUGUGACGGAACACCUUUCUCCCUAGAGGUAUCGACGAUCACAAAAAAAACCUCUGCAUUUUCUUAUGUUAGGGUAAUGGGGGGAGUGGAAACGGUUGGAAGGAAACAUAUUCAUUGCCAAUAA